AACGAACGCUGGCGGCAUGCCUAACACAUGCAAGUCGAACGAGAUCUUCGGGUCUAGUGGCGCACGGGUGCGUAACGCGUGGGAAUCUGCCCUUUGGUUCGGAAUAACAGUUGGAAACGACUGCUAAUACCGGAUGAUGACGAAAGUCCAAAGAUUUAUCGCCAGAGGAUGAGCCCGCGUAGGAUUAGCUAGGUGGUGUGGGAAAGGCGCACAAAGGCGACGAUCCUUAGCUGGUCUGAGAGGAUGAUCAGCCACACUGGGACUGAGACACGGCCCAUACUCCGACGGGAGGCAGCAGUGGGGAAUAUUGGACAAUGGGCGAAAGCCUGAUCCAUCAAUGCCGCGUGAGUGAUUAAGGCCUUAGGGUUGUAAAGCUCUUUUACCCGGGAUGAUAAUGACAGUACCGGGAGAAUAAGCUCCGGCUAACUCCGUGCCAGCCGCCGCCGUAA
rnacentral:rRNA from 1 species